rnacentral:rRNA from 1 species
AACGAACGCUGGCGGCAUGCCUAACACAUGCAAGUCGAACGAGACCUUCGGGUCUAGUUGCGCACGGGUGCGUAACGCCUGGGAACUUGCCCUUAGGUUCGGUAUAACUUCCCGAAAGGGGUGCUAAUACCGGAUAAUGUCCUCGGACCAAAGAUUUAUCGCCUUUGGAUGGGCCCGCGUUGGAUUAGCUUGUUGGUAGGGUAAAAGCCUACCAAGGCGACGAUCCAUAGCUGGUCUGAGAGGAUGAUCAGCCACACUGGGACUGAGACACGGCCCAGACUCCUACGGGAGGCAGCAGUGGGGAAUAUUGGACAAUGGGCGAAAGCCUGAUCCAGCAAUGCCGCGUGAGUGAUGAAGGCCUUAGGGUUGUAAAGCUGUUUUACCCGGGAUGAUAAUGACAGUACCGGGAGAAUAAGCUCCGGCUAACUCCGUG